UACAGAGGGGGCAAGCGUUGUUCGGAAUUACUGGGCGUAAAGGGCGCGUAGGCGGCCCGCUAGGUGGAACGGGAAAUCCCCGGGCUUAACCUGGGAACUGCAUUUGUGACUGCAUGGCUGGAGUGCGGCAGAGGGGGAUGGAAUUCCGCGUGUAGCAGUGAAAUGCGUAGAUAUGCGGAGGAACACCGAUGGCGAAGGCAAUCCCCUGGGCCUGCACUGACGCUCAUGCACGAAAGCGUGGGGAGCAAACAGG
rnacentral:rRNA from 1 species